rnacentral:rRNA from 1 species
ACUCCUGCGGGAGGCAGCAGUGGGGAAUUUUGGACAAUGGGCGAAAGCCUGAUCCAGCCAUGCCGCGUGCAGGAUGAAGGCCUUCGGGUUGUAAACUGCUUUUGUACGGAACGAAACGGCCUUUUCUAAUAAAGAGGGCUAAUGACGGUACCGUAAGAAUAAGCACCGGCUAACUACGUGCCAGCAGCCGCGGUAAUACGUAGGGUGCAAGCGUUAAUCGGAAUUACUGGGCGUAAAGCGUGCGCAGGCGGUUAUGUAAGACAGUUGUGAAAUCCCCGGGCUCAACCUGGGAACUGCAUCUGUGACUGCAUAGCUAGAGUACGGUAGAGGGGGAUGGAAUUCCGCGUGUAGCAGUGAAAUGCGUAGAUAUGCGGAGGAACACCGAUGGCGAAGGCAAUCCCCUGGACCUGUACUGACGCUCAUGCACGAAAGCGUGGGGAGCAAACAGGAUUAGAAACCCUGGUAGUCCCAU